UCUGCAGAGAAGGGCCAACGGUACAUGACAAAAAGAGCCCUUAAUUAUUCAUUCCCUUUUCUCACUCAUGAUUCACCCUUCGGUCCUUUGCUCUUCAGAAGUCUCCUUGCCAUUCCUCCUUUGCUCCUCCUGGACAGAAUGAGUUGCCGCUAGUGAAGUCACCGUCGAGUCACGGUUUGAAGGCGCCGGUGAGGUCUUUCUUAGCUCUGCAGAAGAAGAUCAUUCUAAUUCAUCCAUCAUAUGUUUGCAAUCGUUGGUGUGAAGCAUCCUCCGGUGGUAGUUUGGUGAGGUCAACGUUGGUGGUUCCUUGGCUCAGAUCCGCUGCUCAGAUUUCCUCCAACCUUAGUUUUUUUUCCAUCUCAGUGCUGGCUUAAGGGGUGUUUUGGUCUUUCAUAGAUGUUUUUGCUUGGUUUCAGCCCAAACGUGAGCAGACCUUAGUGGUGGUUGACAUUUUGCUUCACUGGUGGGUUGAUUUUCAGUACUAGCUUCAUUUGUUUUGCUUGGUUCAUAGCUGAUUUCGAUUUGCUUGGUUCAUAGCUGUUGAAACCGUGUCACAAAAUUGCUCUGUUCGGUUUCAGGGAUGUGGCUUUGAAGAUAGAGGACCUGUUUUUGGUCCAUGUAGAUGAUGACAUUAGUUUUUUUAAGAUAAACAAUCCUUGUACUUCUUUGUAAUCCUGUUGUUAAUGAAAGUUUCGAUGUUGUAGUUUGGGCGUAUUCAAGAAUUAACACAAAAUAUUAUUGUGAUUAUAUAUGUCCAAAUUAAUGAAAUAAUUGUAUUUCUAAAACA